UACGUAGGCAGCAAGCGUUGCUCGGAGUCACUGGGCGUAAAGGGCGCGUAGGCGGCCCUAUAAGUAUGGUGUGAAAUCUCCCGGCUUAACUGGGAGGGUGCGCUAUAGACUGUGGGGCUAGAGUGUGGGAGAGGAAAGUGGAAUUCCUGGUGUAGCGGUGAAAUGCGUAGAUAUCAGGAGGAACACCGGUGGUGUAAACGGCUUUCUGGACCAUAACUGACGCUGAGGCGCGAAAGCGUGGGUAGCAAACAGG
rnacentral:rRNA from 1 species